rnacentral:lncRNA from 1 species
GGCUUUUGUGGCCUGGAAAUAAUUGGCCACUUUUCCCCAUACUUUACCUUCUUCCAAUCUUGCAGGCUUCUGAAGCAUCUAUGGCUGAGGCCUGGCAGGACUGCCCAGCCCUGGGCCCUGGCUGGAAACGCCGAGAGGCCUUUCGAAAGUCAGGGGCCUCGUGUGGACGCUCAGACAUCUAUUAUCGGAGGUAACGGGUGGGCUGUGGACAGCGUUCAGUGGAGUUGGACAUCGUUAGUAAUUAAAGGGGGUGGUGUGUUUAAAUCUAUGGAUGUGGUUAAAGUUGUGCACAUAGUCCUUGUUAAAAGUUUUGUGUUUUCUUAAUCACCUAUUCUUAAUAAAGUUUAUUUGAUCAAAGUCGA